AAUCUACUAACAGUUAUAAGAAAGAAACUGAUGUUUUUGGAUUGGUGCUUUAGAAAGUCCAUUUAGGCACUGGGGAUAAUAGUUGUAAAUCUCUUGCUGAUAAAUUCUCAGUCAGGCCUGUUUCACAUUACUUCAUUAGCCCCUAACACUUACUUUGUCUUCUUUCUUAUAGGCUUCAGGGUACUGAGUACCUAUCCAAUUUCUUGGAGUUUCCAUUCUAUUCUUGACUGUUUAUAAAUAGACUUGAAUUUCUCAAAUAACUUUCCUGACCCUUUGGUUUAAAUUUUUUACUUUAAUUGAGGAAACAGAAGAAACAGAAAGUAACAUGAAUGGGAACAUUACACAGAUUUAGGAUCCACACAUAUUCCUGCCAUUAUUAGAGAAAAAACAUGGUAUCCUAGACAUUGUAAAUGUGAUAUUGAAGCCAUCCUAACAAAAUUGACAAAACUAAAUUGCUAGGUUUAACAAAAGCAUAAGCUUUAAGUAGAAACAUAGCGAAACAUUAACCAGACUGCCCUAUGGCCCACUUCUGUACAGCUGAUUACUACUUAAAAGUCAAGUAGCUCCUAUAGCAAGGUCCUAACUUGUACAGAUAACAUCUUUAAUGUUAAGAAAUUUCAAGUUUUCCAUUUUGAGAUAUUUUCCAGAUCCUGCAUUCCGGUGGGUCCACUGAUGCCAGCCAGUGUGAAGACCCUCUCUGAGGAACUAACUCAGCCCCCAAAUGCAGUUUUUACAUCUUUAUUAAAGAUAAUAUAACCUGUGCCAUUAUGGCUUCCAGACAGUGACCCUCUUCUUCAGAAAUCAAUCAGCUUCACAGAAAAUUUUGCUGGACAGCCUAAAAGUCAAAGAUCAAGGCAAAAUAAUCUGCUGUGCAUUGCAACCUAGGAAAUGAGCCGACCUUCCAUUUAGAGGUAAUUGCUGAAGGCAUACUACUAACACAAAUCUAAGGGUGGGAGUCAGCCUUAUGAAAUGAAUUGAAAUAAGCCAUGUAGUUUGAAAAUGUGAUAUUUCUUAUUAG
rnacentral:lncRNA from 1 species